GACGUGGCAGCACCUGUGGCUCGGCUGCAGCGGGUUUUGCUUUCCCUUCUUAUUUCUCUGAGACAUUAAUAAGCGAAGGUGAAAGAUUUCCCAGAGUUCUGACUGACAGCAGAGACGCAGCCUAGAGGGCAGAGGUGACUCUGGAAGAGCUGCAGAAAUCCACGGCUCAGGAAGGACACCAACAUCCUGUUUACAAUAACUCAUGAAAACUGGAUCUACGUUUCUGAGAAUGUUCGACACGUGAUGAAAUGAUGGCGGCUUCGUGGAAAUAAUGUGGUUGAG